CACCUGCCGGGGGCCCUACCAUGCAGUCGAGCGGUAGCACAGAGAGCUUGCUCUCGGGUGACGAGCGGCGGACGGGUGAGUAAUGUCUGGGAAACUGCCUGAUGGAGGGGGAUAACUACUGGAAACGGUAGCUAAUACCGCAUAACGUCGCAAGACCAAAGUGGGGGACCUUCGGGCCUCAUGCCAUCAGAUGUGCCCAGAUGGGAUUAGCUGGUAGGUGGGGUAACGGCUCACCUAGGCGACGAUCCCUAGCUGGUCUGAGAGGAUGACCAGCCACACUGGAACUGAGACACGGUCCAGACUCCUACGGGAGGCAGCAGUGGGGAAUAUUGCACAAUGGGCGCAAGCCUGAUGCAGCCAUGCCGCGUGUGUGAAGAAGGCCUUCGGGUUGUAAAGCACUUUCAGCGGGGAGGAAGGCGGUGAGGUUAAUAACCUCGUCGAUUGACGUUACCCGCAGAAGAAGCACCGGCUAACUCCGUGCCAGCAGCCGCGGUAAUACGGAGGGUGCAAGCGUUAAUCGGAAUUACUGGGCGUAAAGCGCACGCAGGCGGUCUGUCAAGUCGGAUGUGAAAUCCCCGGGCUCAACCUGGGAACUGCAUUCGAAACUGGCAGGCUAGAGUCUUGUAGAGGGGGGUAGAAUUCCAGGUGUAGCGGUGAAAUGCGUAGAGAUCUGGAGGAAUACCGGUGGCGAAGGCGGCCCCCUGGACAAAGACUGACGCUCAGGUGCGAAAGCGUGUGGAGCAAACAGGAUUAGAUACCCUGGUAGUCCACGCUGUAAACGAUGUCGAUUUGGAGGUUGUGCCCUUGAGGCGUGGCUUCCGGAGCUAACGCGUUAAAUCGACCGCCUGGGGAGUACGGCCGCAAGGUUAAAACUCAAAUGAAUUGACGGGGGCCCGCACAAGCGGUGGAGCAUGUGGUUUAAUUCGAUGCAACGCGAAGAACCUUACCUGGUCUUGACAUCCACAGAACUUUCCAGAGAUGGAUUGUGCCUUCAGGACUGUGAGACAGGUGCUGCAUGCUGUCGUCAGCUCGUGUUGUGAAAUGUUGGUAGUCCGCAUCGAGCGCAACCUUAUCCUUUGUUGCAGGGUCGCAGGGACUCAAGAGCCUGCCAGUGAUAAACUGAGAGGUGCGGAUGACGUCAGUAUCAUGGUGCUUACGACAGACUACCACGUGCUACAUGCCAUUACCAGAUAGGACCUCCGGAGACAGCGACGCUAAGAUGUCUGAUCGGAUGGAUCGCAUCGACUCUGGGUCAGAGUGCUAGAAAUCGGAAUACAAUGG
rnacentral:rRNA from 1 species